AUCGUAAAACAUCGUGAAACGCCAAUUACCACUAUUAAAUACCAAAUGUUGUCAGCUAAAAUCUGUCUGAUUUAUUCGUCUAAUGUAAAUUUAAGACGAGUUUUCCGUCUAAGACGAAUAACCCGUCCAACUUAUCCGUCGUUUAGACGGAAAAGUUGGACGGAAAAGUUAAGACGGAGAACCCGUCGUUUACCGAAUUUAUAUUAAGACGAAAAUCCGUCUUAGACGAGUUCUCCGUCUCAGACGGAAAUCCGUGUUUUAAUAUAAAUCCGGCUAGUGUAUACCAAAUAAAAAUGAAAAGAAAUGCAAUUAAUUAGGAAUGUGCAUCGGAGCUCAUCUCACUUUAGCUCAAAAUGACGCAAAAAACUGUCUAUAUGUAUAUAUUAAUUAUGUAAAUUAGUAGUAGAUUGUUCGUCUUCAUCAAAAAUAAAAAAGUGAACGUCGAAGAAAUUGCUCGCUUGUUUCAGAUAGACCGAUGACCUAAUCUUCGUAUCUACUGUACUUAUCACGCCACACUCGCACCCCAUCACAAGAUCAUUGUAAUUUGUAAAUUGUUGUUCAAAUAGACAUAAUGGUUUUCUUUUUAAAGUAUAUGGGAUUAUGAGUUCGAUUACUGUAAUGCUCCCACCUAUGUUAAGGUCGCAACAUCUUACAAAUGCAUGGUCGAUUCUCAGUAACCCAUAUUAUA